CCUACGGGAGGCAGCAGUGGGGAAUAUUGGGUAAUGGGCGCAAGCCUGACCCAGCAACGCCGCGUGAAGGAAGAAGGCUUUCGGGUUUGAAACUCCUUUUGUCAGGGACGAAGCAAGUGACGGUACUUGACGAAUAAGCCACGGCUAACUACGUGCCAUCAGCCGCCGUAAUACGUAGGUGGCAAGCGUUAUCCGGAUUUAUUGGGUGUAAAGGGCGUGUAGGCGGGAAUGCAAGUCAGAUGUGAAAACUAUGGGCUCAACCCAUAGCCUGCCUUUGAAACUGUAUUUCUUGAGUGCUGGAGAGGCAAUCGGAAUUCGGGGUGUAGCGGUGAAAUGCGUAGAUAUACGGAGGAACACCAGUGGCGAAGGCGGAUUGCUGGACAGUAACUGACGCUGAGGCGCGAAAGCGUGGGGAGCGAACAGGAUUAGAUACCCCUGUAGUC
rnacentral:rRNA from 1 species